AUGAGAUUGUGGGGUCUUCUCCUUUGCCUGGUGACAGCUCCUCAAGGUGUCCUGUCCGAGGUGCAGCUGCAGGAGUCGGGCCCAGGACUGGUGAAGCCCUCGCAGACCCUCUCCCUCACCUGCGAUGUCUCUGGUUACUCCAUCACCAGUGGUUACUACUGGCACUGGAUCCGCCAGCCCACGGGGAAGAGCCUUGAGUGGAUGGGAUACAUUAAUUAUGGUGGAAGCACAUAUUAUAACCCGUCCCUCGAGAGCCGCACCUCCAUCACCAGAGACACGUCCAAGAACCAGUUCUCCCUGCAGCUGAGCUCUGUGACCGACGAGGACACAGGCGUGUAUUACUGUGCGAGAGACACAGUGACAGGAAAAUGGAGAUUUCACCAUUGUGAUUACUAUGGCUUGGACUUCUGGGGCCGAGGGAUCGUGGUCACUGUCUCUUCAGCCAGCACCAAGGCCCCCUCAGUCUUCCCCCUGGCACCCAGCUGCAAGAGCACGGAGGGCUCCACGGUGACUCUGGGCUGCCUGGUGAAGGGCUAUUUCCCUGAGCCAGUGACCGUGUCCUGGAACCAAGGCGCCCUGUCCAGCGGUGUGCACACCUUCCCGUCUGUCCUGCAGUCCUCGGGGCUCUACUCCCUCAGCAGCAUGGUGACCGUGCCCACCAGCACCUGGCCCAGCCAGAAAGUCACCUGCAAUGUAGCCCACCCGGCCAGCAGCACCAAGGUGGACAAGAUGAUUGAGCCCCGUGCCUCCAAACCUGACUCCGGCACCACGUGUCCCAAGUGCAAAUGUUCUGAUAACCAGGGAGGACCUUCGGUCUUCAUCUUUCCCCCAAAACCCAAGGACACCCUCAUGAUCUCCCUCACCCCUGAGGUCACAUGCGUGGUGGUGGACGUGAGCCAGGAUGACCCUGAUGUCCAGAUCAGCUGGUACAUGGACGGUGAGCAGGUGCACACGGCCCAGACUUCCAGGGAGGAGCAGUUCAACAGCACGAUACGCGUGGUCAGCGUCCUGCCCAUCCGGCACCAGGACUGGCUGAAGGGCAAGGAAUUCAAGUGCAAGGUCCAGAACAAAGCCCUCCCAGCCCCCGUCGAGAGAACCAUCUCCAAAGCUAAAGGGCAGGCCCGGAGUCCACAGGUGUACGUCAUGGCCCCACCCCGGGAGGAGAUGACCCAGAGAACUGUCAGCUUGACCUGCCUGGUCAAAAACUUCUACCCCGAUGAAAUCCUCGUCGAGUGGGAGAGUGAAGGAAAGCCACAGAACAACUACAAGACCACCCCAUCCGUGCUGGACAGCGACGGCACCUACUUCCUCUACAGCAAGCUCACAGUGGACAAGAGCUCGUGGCUGAGUAGGAGUGUCUACACAUGCUCUGUCAUGCACGAGGCCCUGCACAACCACUAUGUGCAGAAGCCCCUCUCCCACAAUCCGGCGCUGCAACCCGACGAGAGCUGUGCCGAGGCCCAGGACGGGGAGCUGGACGGGCUGUGGACGACCAUCACCAUCUUCAUCACGCUCUUCCUGCUCAGCGUGUGCUACAGCGCCACUGUCACCGUCUUCAAGGUGAAGUGGAUCUUCUCCUCGGUCGUGGAGCUGAAGCAUACCAUCGUCCCCGACUACAGGAACAUGAUCGGGCAGGGGGCUUAG